CAAUAGCGUAUAUUAAAGUUGUUGCAGUUAAAAAGCUCGUAGUUGGAUUUCUGGUUGAAGCGACCGGUCGGGCGUUGAUUCGUCUGCACUGGAGUCGGUUUUGGCCAUCCUCUAGGAAAGUGCGUCUGGUAUUAAGUUAUCGGGCGUAUGAUCCUGGUCUUUUACUGUGAAAAAAUUAGAGUGUUUAAAGCAGGCCUUCGCCUUGAAUACAUUAGCAUGGAAUAAUAAGAUGGGACUUUGGUCUAUUUUGUUGGUUUGCAGACCGAAGUAAUGAUUAAUAGGGAUAGUUGGGGGUAUUUAUAUUCCGAUGUCAGAGGUGAAAUUCUUAGAUUUUCGGAAGAUAAACUUAUGCGAAAGCAUUUACCAAGGAUGUUUUCAUUAA
rnacentral:rRNA from 1 species